ACUGAGAGCAUUCUGAUCUCAUGCAGAGAAUGUUGUUCAAAUUACCGGUACAUUAGAUUCCAUUUUGUUCACCUUUGCCUCCCCACUCAGUUGAUAGAGCUUCUGUAUGAGACUCAGUGUAUUAGAUGAAGAGCCUUCAUUGGCUACUGUCUGAAGAACCGUGUCCACCUGACAUCUGUCUCUCUUCAUGGAGGACUUCAGUUCAUGGAAGGCAGCUGAGUGAGGACAUCAUCUUUCAUUCUACGUAUCAUGAGAACAUCCCUCAGUUUUUUCUGAAGUUCCUCCAAGUUACAGGCGCCACUAUCACUGUUCGAAUAUCAAUACAGGAUCUUGAGGUAUAAGUUAGUUCUUACUCUACAUUUCUUUUGCGGAUUUUGCCAAAAUGCUGGAUCUUGGCAUCACAAAAGUGUGCAGUGUAGGUCCACCAGCUACCAAACUUGUUGGGACAGAUGGCAUCAAUUUGGGAGAAAAGCUGCAAGAAUCUACAGUACUCCUACCCUAAUCCAUCAGUAACCCACCUCCACAGGUUUGGACAGUGAAGGGGUCCCAGACAGGAGAAUGCGUCGGUUUGCAGCCCUGAUCAGGGGUCCAAUAGCCUUACAGGAGGCCGUCUUUAUGUUUCUUAUGUAGUGAGACUCGUCUACAAUCACCACCUGAAAUUUCUGAUUGGUCAGAGCCUGAAGAACAACUCGACUGGUGGCUUUCGACAGAAGGCCAUAUGUAGCAAUGACAAUCUUGGCAUCCUGAAUCCCACUGAAAUGAAAAUAAAUUCAUGUACACAUAUAUUUUUACUACUUUAAAAGAAAUCAAUUUUUCUGAAAACAAUGUUUUUUGUCUGCAACCAGUAAAUCUGAAAUAAAGCAGAGGAGACAUU
rnacentral:sRNA from 1 species